rnacentral:rRNA from 1 species
GACGAACGCUGGCGGCGUGCUUAACACAUGCAAGUCGAACGGAAAGGCCCUGCUUUUGUGGGGUGCUCGAGUGGCGAACGGGUGAGUAACACGUGAGUAACCUGCCCUUGACUUUGGGAUAACUUCAGGAAACUGGGGCUAAUACCGGAUAGGAGCUCCUGCUGCAUGGUGGGGGUUGGAAAGUUUCGGCGGUUGGGGAUGGACUCGCGGCUUAUCAGCUUGUUGGUGGGGUAGUGGCUUACCAAGGCUUUGACGGGUAGCCGGCCUGAGAGGGUGACCGGCGACAAUGGGACUGAGAUACGGCCCAGACUCCUACUGGAGACAGCAGUGGGGAAUAUUGUACAGUGAGCGGAAGCCUGAUGCAGCAACGCCGCGUGCGGGAUGAAGGCCUGCGGGUUGUGAACCGCUUUCGCCUGUGACGAAGCGUGAGUGACGGUAAUGGGUAAAGAAGCACCGGCUAACUACGUG